CUUGCUCUCCAAUUGAAUAUAGAAGCACUUAUAUCUUCAAUGAAGGCUGGAAGAGCUUUUUUGGCUACUUGAGGGCCUAUGGUAGAAUAAAUCUACCUAAUAAUUUCUCCUAUUUGGGGCUGAAAUUAGUCAUUGAAGGCCAUUUAAAUUCAAACAUGCUUGCUAGAAAAACUAGAUAUUGGAGCUAUCAUGCGCAGAGGGGAUGGCUCUUGGUCACCUAGGGUAAACACCUAAU
rnacentral:lncRNA from 1 species